UACGAAGGGGCUAGCGUUGCUCGGAAUCACUGGGCGUAAAGGGUGCGUAGGCGGGUCUUUAAGUCAGGGGUGAAAUCCUGGAGCUCAACUCCAGAACUGCCUUUGAUACUGAGGAUCUUGAGUUCGGGAGAGGUGAGUGGAACUGCGAGUGUAGAGGUGAAAUUCGUAGAUAUUCGCAAGAACACCAGUGGCGAAGGCGGACUCACUGGCCCGAUACUGACGCUGAGGCACGAA
rnacentral:rRNA from 1 species